UUUAAAUUUAUUAAACAUUUAUAAUAAAUACAUUACAAACUGUACAGAAUACAAAAUACCUAACCUUAAAACAAUAUCAAAAAAAUUCAAGUCAUGCAGAAAUCUAUAUACGUUCUAUACAGAAUUAAACGAUGUAUAUCGACUUAUAAUAAAAUGCAUUAACGUCCGGCCUUUCUCCGCAGUGAAUAACAUUAUUGGCGACGUUUUACAUACAAAUAUAAAGUGUUUCGUUAAAAAUUAAAAGGCUCGGUGCCAGCGCGUUUUUUUGUUCAAAAAUAUCAAUUACGGGGAAAACUCGUGAUUCGUAGGGUGGGUCCGGUUAGUUGGUUGUUGGAAGAACAUGAAUUCCAACAGCCCGUAUUGAACUCCAUUUUUCAAUAUUUCUGUCAAAAAUUGUGUGUUAUGUCUUACAAUUUCAACAUUUUUUUUCUUCUUCUAAUGGGGAUUUUGGCCUUUAAGACCAACUCUCCAAAUAAAUUUACCGCUAUCUCACUCUAUCCAUUGCUAUCUCUUUUUCUGUGUUCUCGUCCUAAGCGCGGUCUACCUAACGGUCUUUUCCCAAUCAGCUCUUUCUCGAUGGCUUCAAUUUUCGUAUGCAUUAUCUUUUCUCCAAGCGUAUCCAGCUCACAUACGUUUACUCUUUCUAGUUUCUUUUUUCAUAUUUGAUUGUUAAAACUAGUUUAUAAGCACCUAAUUGUGAUGUUUUAUCCAUUCCACCGAGUUGACGUCAAUGCAAGAUUCAUAGUCUUCUAAGUAUUUUCCGUUCAAACACUGCAGUAAAUCGUAUUUCUUCAUUUUUCCUUAAGGUCCACGUCUCUGAUUCAUAUACGACUAUUGGCCGUAUGUAAUUGGAGUUUAAGUCUUUUGAAUAAUACUUUAGAGCUGCAAUCUAUAUUAUUUACUUUUAUUUUUAAGUUGUUAUCUUGCGUUAUUAUCAAUCUUAGGUACUUGAAGUAUGGCUGCACUCUCUUGCAAACAUAUGGUCCUCUAACGUUCUUUUCACCAACAAAUCCAUACCAAUAUUUGAAAUCGAAUUAAAAAUAGGAGUUCAACGCGGACUGUAGAAUGUUGUUAGAAUUAAAAAAGAAACGAUAAAUAAAUAGUUAAUCGGCAAUGAGAUAUAUCUUAUCACAAUCAAAUUCGUCCGCACUAUUUCCCCUCAAACUAUGGGUAUCUGGCAGUAGAUUAGUGAAAAACUCCCGUCGUUAAGCGGUCAUCGAAAUGUUAACAAUAAAACAAUUUGGAAAACCGGCACCGGACCCCUUGAAACGUUUCAUUAUUCACGAUUGAUUGUCUAUACAAUAAUUUAUAGAUAUACAUAUUAACUAACAUAUUAUAUACAUAACCUUAUUUGUACUUUAUCAGUGAUAAAAAUAUUACUUAUUUUAUUCUAUAAUUUUAUGAUUACAUACGUAUGGGCAGUAAUUUUUUUUUUCGCGUGACAUUCUUUAUAAUAUUCGGCCCAAUAUUAUGUACGCACAUGCAAAUAACGUGUCGUAUUUUUAGUAUCGUGCGUAUACACACGCAUCCGCGAAUAAUAUUUUAACAAUUUAGUUUAAAAACUGCCUGAGCCUAUAUAAAUAAUAUAAAUUUACCGGAAGACAGCGUACACCAUCGUCGCAUGAUGGUAAUAAUUAGGGCUCGUGAAUUAUUGCACUUACAAUUCACAAAAAAGGCGCUUAAAAACGUCAAAAAAUCCCUAACAGAAAGCACUUCAAACAAAUACCUAUGAUUAUAAGGACAAAUUGAAGAAGGAUUCAAAGGUCUUGUGUCCAAUGACUCUUAUCUAACUUAUUAAAUGCGUUUUUUCUAACACGAUACAAAUGAUUAACAAAAAGUAAUUGUGUUUCAAAAAAAAAUUAUACGUAUUAUAAAACAAAUACCUUUGAGUCAAUAAUUUGUACAGCGUUAGACAAAUUUUUUUUUUUUUAAUAUUUUCCAUACGUUUUUAAGCGUUUUUUUGUCAAUUUUAAGCGCAUGUUCCGAGCCCUAGUAAUAAUGAUUAAACGUUACAAUAGGUAUUACCUGUAUAAUAUACACGUGUGGUGUCGUAUGGUUAAUGUUGAAAAUUUGACAACGUCACAUUUUCGAUCGGCAGAACCGAUUUCGUGCAGUUGAUUUCAAUAUUAGAAUGAGUUGGUCUGCUACGUUAAACUUUUAAAGGAUACAAACAUUUGCGUGUUUUUGCUCGUUUGGUUUGUCUUCGGUAUUUUAAUUUUCAAGCGUAGUAAUAUUUUACAUGCACGGAUCUCGAUUGAAAAUUAAAAUAUCGUAAAUAAACCAACGCACAAACACAAACAAUAUUCUUAUCUUUGAGUUCGAUAACUGGCCAAUUAUUCAUUCUACAGAACGGAUAGAAUACCAAAUAACUUUGACGUUAAAAUUAACAGCACAACAUUCGAUCUACCGGAGGAAAAUUUAACAUUAUCCGUAACAUAAUAAUGUACAGGAACGUUAUACAGAGUGAUUUUUAAAUUCAGGUUUCAUAACACCUUUUAUUUGGAAGUAACUGAUUUAAAUCUUUGCGGGCUAGUAACGCGUUCCUUUCUUCGUCGAGUCUGAAUAGUGCAUGAUAAAAUCUAAACUGUCUAAUAUACAUGUUAUAAGUUAUAACCUGUAGGCUACAGAGUACGAGUAUUAUAACGAGUAUUUUUAUACGCUUUCGAAUAUAGUAUGUAUUGAUUGAAAAAAAAAAAAACAGUCAAUCUAUACUGAAAUGUGUUUCAUCACCAGCCAAUUCUGUGCGUACAGUGUUAUUACGCAUGUGUUGAGCAUAUUUCGCAUUUUUAGAGAAUGUUUUAGAAUCUCGUGCAUUUGUAAGACAUAUUUUAGAUGUAUUAUAAAAACGUUAAUGAAGUGCUCUUUUUUUAUGACUCAACAAAUCUACAAUUACAGAAUGAUAUUGUCAUCAAGGUAUACAAAUAUGGAUGAGCGCUGAGCAGGCGAGCUAAUUACUUUAGUACCCGCGAGUGUUCGAUAAACUUUUAUUAUUAUAUGGGUGGCGGGGUUUUUUGUUUUUUUUUUUUUUGUUUGUUUUCGAGAACACACGUUCAGGGCACAGUUCGGCAAUUUUCAGGGCACGACUGCGUCUAUAUAUUCAAUAGGUUAUUAAGGCAUACGUGUUGUCUAUGAAUCUCUGAUUUGAUUAAUAACAAUACUUUUUCGUACGGUCUCGGCGCGGCACAGUUUAGCGACGAAUAUUUUUCCCCACGGAAUAUCUAUCGUAUACACCGCGUGUAUAGAGUGAGUUCUUUUUAUCACGAACCAGAAUUUUUCUGGGAAGAUUUUAACGGAAGAGUAUCUAAUAAAUUACACGAUUGCACUCUGUACUCUACACCUCCGGUCUAAACUUUAAACGGCUAUAAUUCACAAACGGCAAAUCUGAUAAUAGCUGUGUUAUGCACAUCAAAAUUACUAGAAAAAUAUUCGAAAAUGGGCGGUUCUUGUUCGAAAAACAAAAGUUUAUACUUAUUUAAGGUAUACGGAGUAGGGGUGAAAAUUAAAAACGUUCUUAAAAUAAAGCUUAACCGAUUGCAUGGUAAUAAAAAAAAAAAAAACCAGAAAUCAAAUUCGCUUAAAAUCUUCCGAGAAAACUACUGGUUAUUUGUGAUAAAAAAAAAAAUCACCCUGUAUAUUGUGUAGGUGUAUAUCAAGUGCGUACGUAUAUAUGCGUACAUAAAUAUGCGUGUUGCCGUUUUGUCGACAAAAAAACUGUGCGCGUAAAAUGAAAAUUGAAAAUAAUGGAAAAAAAAGCCACUACGAAAAGUAGACGGACGCGGUAAAAAAUAAUAAUAACGACGGCGGCGGGGGACUUCGGAAGCUACGAUACGGAUAUAUACGUAUAUACGUAUACUGCAGUAAAAAUAACUGCGCGGUAUAAAAUAAUAUUAAAAUACAUAUAAAACUGGGGGCGGCGAUCGCGUGUGCGUAUGAUGAG
rnacentral:lncRNA from 1 species